CCUACGGGUGGCUGCAGUGGGGAAUAUUGCACAAUGGGCGAAAGCCUGAUGCAGCCAUGCCGCGUGUAUGAAGAAGGCCUUCGGGUUGUAAAGUACUUUCAGUUGUGAGGAAGGGUGUGUAGUUAAUAACUGCGCAUCUUGACGUUAGCAACAGAAGAAGCACCGGCUAACUCCGUGCCAGCAGCCGCGGUAAUACGGAGGGUGCAAGCGUUAUCCGGAAUCAUUGGGUUUAAAGGGUCCGUAGGCGGGCUAAUAAGUCAGGGGUGAAAGUUUGCAGCUCAACUGUAAAAUUGCCUUUGAUACUGCUAGUCUUGAAUUAGUAGGAAGUGGUUAGAAUAAGUAGUGUAGCGGUGAAAUGCAUAGAUAUUACUUAGAAUACCGAUUGCGAAGGCAGAUCACUACUACUAUAUUGACGCUGAUGGACGAAAGCGUGGGGAGCG
rnacentral:rRNA from 1 species